rnacentral:lncRNA from 1 species
AAGAAGUGUGCCCCUCCUCCUCCCUAGAAGCCUGUGGGGCCGAGAUGCCCGGACCUGCCCGGCCCGAACUAGGCAAAGUCCAGCGAAUAGGUGAAGAGGUGGUGCCUCCUCCUCUCACAGGGCUCUGCCCCUAGGAGUCCAGGAAACGGGGGUGUCUUGUCCGCUGAUGGUUCCCGCUAAUAGGCAAACACCAGGAACGUGCAGCCCCUCCCCUCCGCCUCGCGCUCUUUCUGGGAGGAGCCUGGGGGGGGGAGGGUCCUGCCCACGGGCCCCGCCCUGCACUAGGCGGAAGCCCCCAAAGUAUCAGCGCCGCUUCGUGGAGCCUGGCGACUGCUUUGGGAAGUCCUGCUGGCAGGCACUCUGCCCCUGGGGGUGUGCAAAGAGUUGUCCAGUUACCUUGAUCUUCUCACAGCCUCCUCCCCAGGGCACCAGGAGAGACCAGGAUUGGAGGACGGUAAAGAACACACUUCCCAGAGGAUUCUUGGAGGUGGCUUCCUCCAGGCAGUAAAUCUACAGCCCAGGCUCCCUGCAUCUUAUGGCUCCAAUCACUUUGGAUCUCAUCGUCGCCUGCACAUUGCCAUACACAGGGAAGGAGAAGAGAUGGAGAAGGCAAAGACUUUCUGAAAGCCGUGGCUAAAAGCUGGCAUGUGUCACAUCAGCUCACAUUCCAUUGUAGAGACGGGGUUUCACCGUGUUAGCCAGGAUGGUCUUGAUAUCCUGACCUCGUGAUCCGCCCGCCUUGGCUUCCCAAAGUGCUGGGAUUACAGGCGUGAGCCACCGCUCCCGGCCUGGCAGGCAUUCUUGAGGCAAACGGGAAAUGGGGUAAGUUACACAAUCGAUACAGCUCCGUCAUCGUGGUUUAAUUACUUUUCCACGUACCAUGUUUCCUGACAGGUAGAACGAUCAGCCUGGGCCUCCGUUUUUCAUUCUACAAAGAAUGAAGUGCAUGAACUGUCCUCUAUAGAAUUGUGGAAAAAGUUGUUUUUAUUGAGUUGUGGUUAUCUUUGUCUUCAUGGUCUAAUUACGGAAAUAAAUGCUUUUCCGAGUCUCCGGGGAUGGUCUGCCCUAGUCCAGCUCUCUGCAGUGUCUUUCUGGGUUUUUCCUCAGUGAACGGGAGGAACAUUGGCAGCACUUGUGGUCUGCACCAAGAACUGAAUCGAAUUUCCAUGUGUUAUUGAAUGUUCACAAAGACCUUGUACAGCGAGUGUUACUACCUCUGGUCAAUGAUUCAACUCAAGGCUCAGAAAAGUCAAGUGUCUUGUCCAGGGACACUUAGUCAGAAGUGAAUCCAAGGUUUAAGCUCAAGUCUGCCUAACUCUGAAUUUCACAGCCUUUUGCUACAUAUGGCGAAUAAUAUAUCCCUGAGCACUAAAGGCAGACUCCAAGGAUCUUGUCUCUGCAAUCAUCAUUCUGGCCAUAAUUUAUGAAAAGCAACCCAAAGUAUGUGAUGUAAUAAAAAGUACUAUCUAUGAGUUUACCCUUCCAAAAAUUGAACUGAAUUCUGAGCUCUAAAUUUGGAAUCAAAAGAACUUUUCUCUGCACUAAUCAUUUGGAACAUCACUUAAAGAAAACAACGAAAAACUGGUGUCCCCUGAGAGAAAGCAAUACAAAACAUUAUGCAUAAAGAAAUCCUUCCAAAAAAUAAACCAAAUCCAGUCAAAUCUCUAGUUUUGACUCCUAGCUUACCGGAAAUACGUGAUGGGAAAAAAAUGAAAUGACACCACUAUGAUUCAAUCAGCCAAAUCCAGCAUAUGCAAAUUUCUACCAGAUAAAUGGUUUAGUUUCUUCCCCAAACAAAUGGCACAAGGAAACGGAGGUAAGAAUGGGAUGCUGUUAUAGAUUUUAAAAGAUUUAAGAAAGUAUAAACUAAAUACACUAUGUGCAUCCUCUCUGAACGUGCUUCAAACAUAUCAAGGGGUCAAUGAGCAGUUUUGAAACAAUAAGGGAAUUUGAACACUGAAUGGUUGUCAGAAGAUAGUAAGAGAUCAUUAUUAAUUUUACUAGACAUAAUGAUGUUCUGAUUUUGUUUUUUUUUUAAAAAAAAAACAGUGUUAUUUCCUUUAUAGAUACAUCAUAUAGUAUUAACUAAUGAAAUGCUUUGAUAUCUGGAACGUUUAAAAAAUAUUCCCGAUGGAGUAAGUGCAAAGAAACAGGUAAGCAAAAUGCUGAUAAUUGCUGAAACACAGGAUGUGUACCUGGGGCUUCAUUUACUAUCUCUUCAUUUUCUAUUUUGAUAUUUGUUGGACAUUCUCAUAAAAAGGAAAGUUAUGUUUUAUUUUCUCAUAAGCUAGUAAUGAAAUAGCCCUACGUAACUGAUAUUGUAGAGACAAGAAUAGGUGUAAUAGAGCUUAAGGUUUUCAUUUAAAAAACUAUCUGUAGACUUCAAUGGAUCUUAGGUGGCAUCCAUGCAAUAACACUCGUGGAACAUGCAGGACAGGUGUGGAGCUCCAUCUUCACACAGUGACAUUUUUUAUGCUUCUGUUUUCCCUAAGAGUGGAGUGAGAGGAUGAUUAUUUUAUAUCAUGGACUUCUUCCCUGCUAUACUUUUUUUAAUUAUUUUACUUUCACUUCUGGGAUACAUGUGCUGAGCAUGCAGGCUUGUUUACAUAGGUAUACAUCUGCCAUGGUGGUUUGCUGCACCUAUCAACCCAUCAUACAGGUUUUAAGCCCUGCAUGCAUUAGGUAUUCGCCCUAAUGCUCUCCCUCGCCUUUCCCCCCACCCCCUGAUAGCCCCCAGUGAGUCAUAUUCCCCUCCCUGUGUCCAUGUGUUCUCAUUGUUCAACUCCCAUUUAUGAGUGAGAAUAUGUGGUGUUUAGUUUUCUGUUCCUGUGUUAGUUUGCUGAGAAUGAUGUUUUCCAGCUUCAUCCAUGUCCCUGAAAAGGACAUGAGCUCAUUCUUUUUUAUGGCUGCAUAGUAUUCCACGGUGUUAUAUGUGCCACAUUUUCUUAAUCCAGUCUGUCAUUGAUGGACAUUUGGGUUGUUUCCAAGUCUUUGCUAUUGUAAAUAGUGCUGCAAUAAACAUAUGUGUGCAUGUGUCUUUGUAGUAGAAUGAUUUAUAAUCCUUUGGGUAUAUGCCCAGUAAUGGGACUGAUGGGUCAAAUGGUAUUUCUGGUUCUAGAUCCUUGAGGAAUUGCCACACUGUCUUCCACAAUGGUUGAACUAAUUUAUACUCCCACCAACAGGGUAAAAGCAUUCCUAUUUCUCCACAUCCUCUCCAGCAUCUGUUGUUUCCAAAUGUUUUAAUGAUUGCCAUUCCACCUGGCGUGAGAUGGUAUCUCAUUGUGGUUUUGAUUUUCAUUUCUCUAAUGACCAGUGAUGAUAAGCUUUUUUUCAUAUGUUUGUUGGCCACAUAAAUGUCUUCUUUUGACUUUUAUGUGGAAACAAAUUUAACUGCACAGAGAGGUGAAAAUUAAUUAAUAACUUUUAAAGUAAUUCCCUAAGUUUCUAAGGAUCUAUAUGUUUCCAUCUGACUUUAUUUUAUUUAAGCUCUUGAUUGAUGCUGCAUUUGGAGCAGGUUCAUGAACAUGAAUAGAGUUAAUCUGGGACAGAUUUCCCUCAUUUGAUUUUUUCACUGUUUCCAUCACAGAACUUAUUUCAUGCUCACCAUGUUUGCAGGCAUUGAGCUUGGUACUGGAGCCACAGAGCUGGAUCAGACAGACUUGUGCAAAUAUUUCAGGUUUUUUUUGUGGGGGGGUCAUAUUUAUAGAUAAAUAACAGUAAAGAGUGACGGGUUCUUAUGAAAAUGCAUACACAGUGAAGUAGAGGGUGAAAAGGAGGGAUGUGUUCUAUGAGGAGGAAGAGUGAUAAGAAAGUGUAAGGGGAUGUGUCUGUGUCUAGACAUAUGUGUGUUCACGUGUGUGCGUGCUUGUGUGUACUGCAUGUGUAUAUGUGUGGCCAUGCACCUGUGUGCAUGUUCAUGUGUGUGUGUGUAUGUGUCUGUGUUGAGGACUAAAUUAAUUGGGCUUAUGGAAGCAGGGAGCCACUGAUAGGUUUAAUUAGAGACUGACAUGAUAUGAUAGUUUAGGUGGAUUUCUCUGGGGGCUGUGUUGAGGGACAGUGGGGAGGAGAGCUAGAAGGAAGAAAAGGACACAUGCAUAACAGAAGCAAUAUCUGUCUAUGGGAUGGUGGAAAGAAUCAGAAAAGACUUAAUAAAACAUGUGACACUUUAACUGAAUCUUGAAAUAGACAAGUGUUGGAGGAGGGAGUUGGACCAGAUACUUCAUGCAAAGGGAAGAAAAGUGCACAAACAAAAUAUGAGAAACAAGGCAGACAGGCAUUUUUUUAAAAUUUUCGCACCCACUGAUAGACCAGUGAUGCAUUCACAUCGUCUGCAUUCAUGAUCAACAAAAGUGCUUUCCUAGAACAUGAACCUCAACCCAAGUGUCGCCUCAAGUAGUGUAUGCAUGAACUCAAGCAUUAAAUUAGAAUUGAUUUUUUAAAAAACUCACACAAACAGAUGUAUUAUUUAAAAAUCUUUAAAGCAGGUUUAAACAGUUUUCAGGAUUAAAAGCAGCCACUAUUAGAAAGAACAAAAAUACAUUUGACAUAAAUAUAAGGAGCCUCAAUAGAACCUCCUGUACCCAGUCAUUGUCAAUGCCACAUCCAUUCAUUCACCAGCCCUUAUAUCAAUGCUUGCUGGGCUCACUUACCACGAUCAGCACGUGCAUGUCCUUAUCUGAAAGCUUGCCACUCAAAUGUGCUCAGUCUUACCUGUGUGGCUGGGAGUGUUGGGGAUUUAAUGUCAAGGGAAAGAAUCUUCCAUCAAUGAAUGAUGAAAGUUAGUUUUCACAACUUCCGGUCCCCUUGGCCCUCAUCAAAGGGCUCCAGGUGAGGUUUGGGCUCCUUGCUAUCCUCCGAGUUUCCACGGUAGUUUUAAGCACCAUUGCCCGUGGUAAUGGCUGACAUUGAUACUGCACUUUUUUUUUAUUUAAGAUGGAGUUCCCCUCUGCCACCCAGACUGGAGUACAGUGGCGCGAUCCUGGCCAUCGCAACCUCCGCCUCCCAGGUUCAAGCGAUUCUCCUGCCUCAGUCUCUCAAGUAGCUGGGAUAUGGGCACCUGUCACCAUGCCCAGCUAAUUUUUUUAAAAUUUAUUUUUAGUAGAGAUGGGGUUUCACCAUGUUGGCCAGGCUGGUCUCGAACUCCUGACCUCAGGUGAUCCACCCACACUUUUUAUUGUUUGCCUACACUUUCUAGACUUGCUUCAUCAGCCUACUCCGUUUCUGGUUGAUAUGGUUUGGUUGUGUCCCCACUCAAAUCUUAUCUAGAAGUGUAAUCCCCAAGUCUCAAGGGAGGGACCUGGUGUGAGGUGAUUGGAUUGGGGGGUGGUUCCCGCCAUGCUGUUCUCAUGAUAGUGAGUGAGUUCUCAUGAGAUCUGAUGGUUUUAUAAGGCAGUUUUCCCUAUUCUUGCUCACUCUUCUCUCUCUUUCUGCCAUGUGAAGAAGGUCCUUGCUUCCCCUUCACCUUCUACCAUGAUUGUAAGUUUCCUGAGGCCUCCCCUCAGCCAUGCACAACUGUGAGUCAAUUAAACCUCUUUCCUUUAUAAAUUACUCAGUCUCAGGUCGUAUCUUUAUAGCAGUAUGAGAAUGGACUAAUACACUGGUCUAUCCUUCAUCCAAAUUAACUACCUGCACUGCAGUCCUUGUCUCAGGCUCUGCUUUGAGGGACCCCAACUGUGACAGCCGCAUUAGAAUGCAUCACAUACUGCAGUGAAAUUCUAGAGUGGGUGUUGUCAGGUGGUGAUGAUUGUUAGAUAUGUCAGUCUGUUUUCAGGCUGCUGAUAAAGACAUACCUGAGACUGGGUAAUUUAUAAAGGAAAAGGAGGUUUAAUGGACUCACAGUUCCACAUGGCUAGGGAGGCCUCACAAUCAUGGCAGAAGGUGAAAGGCACGGCUUACAGGGUGGCAGCAAGAGAGGAAAUGAGAACCAAGUGAAAAGGUUUCUGCUUAUAAAACCAUCAGCUCUUGUGAGACUUAUUCAUUACAAUGAGAACAAUAUGGGGGAAACUGCCCCCAUGAUUCAAUUAUCUCCCACCAGAUCCCUCCUACAACACAUGAGAAUUGUGGGUGCUACAAUUCAAGAUGAGAUUUGAGUGGGGACAAAGUCAAACCAUAUCAUUAGAUAGGACACUGGAGAAAGGCAAGAAAGAAAAGACAUCUGAAGAAUGAAGGGAGCCAAAGAAAUGCCAACAUUUUGCUUUUUGAAGAAAAGCUAAAUUAAAGUCAAAAUGGAUUUAUCAAUUUCCUUGGGUUCGUGAAUGUACAGAACUUUAUUAAGACUGUCAUGCUGUCAUCAUGGCUGGAUCUGAUACGGCCACCGUGGACCUUGAGGUGACCUCGGGAAUGGAGACAGUGCAUGGGAGAGAAUCACAUUGGAAGGGGCCUGGGUUUCUGAAGACCCUGUAAGACAGAUCUCCUUGCAGCCCUGACUGCCCACAUUAGGGCUUUUAUGUUAGGGUGAAGUUACCUUGCAUUGUCAUAUAAGCAAUUGCUAUUUGUGGUGUCUUGCAAAUAAACCUAUUCUGAUCUAGUAUGUUUCCUAAAAAACAAAAGUUUGAACCCAGCUCUUUACGUGUUACAUGUUCUGAAUACAAAAAUAAGACCCAGUUUCUGCCCCCUAGCAGGACCCAAAACCCCUCAGUGAAGGCAUACACCAUAGGAAUAAUCUCACAAGUACUUU